UACGUAGGGUGCAAGCGUUGUCCGGAAUUAUUGGGCGUAAAGAGCGUGUAGGCGGCCAGAUAGGUCCGUUGUGAAAACUGGAGCUUAACCUCCAGCGGUCGAUGGAAACCAUCUGGCUAGAGUCCGGAAGAGGAGAGUGGAAUUCCUGGUGUAGCGGUGAAAUGCGCAGAUAUCAGGAAGAACACCCGUGGCGAAGGCGGCUCUCUGGGACGGUACUGACGCUGAGACGCGAAAGCGUGGGGAGCGAACAGGG
rnacentral:rRNA from 1 species